AUACCUUUCUCGGCCUUUUGGCUAAGAUCAAGUGUAGUAUCUGUUCUUAUUAGUUUAAUAUCUGAUAUGUGAGCCAUUGGCUCACACGAUAUGAACUUAAUUUCUCUAGGGGAAAGGUCCAUCAAGGUAGCUUGCUACUUGCGUCUUUGAGUGUCGCCUUGGUACCGCACUAUUACCUUGGCCUGGCACACCCCAC
rfam:Ipomoea nil DNA, scaffold: scaffold1834, cultivar: Tokyo-kokei standard.